GAGUUUGAUCCUGGCUCAGGAUGAACGCUGGCGGCGUGCCUAAUACAUGCAAGUCGAGCGAACAGAUAAGGAGCUUGCUCCUUUGAAGUUAGCGGCGGACGGGUGAGUAACACGUGGGUAACCUACCUAUAAGACUGGGAUAACUUCGGGAAACCGGAGCUAAUACCGGAUAACAUUUAGAACCGCAUGGUUCUAAAGUGAAAGAUGGUUUUGCUAUCACUUAUAGAUGGACCCGCGCCGUAUUAGCUAGUUGGUAAGGUAACGGCUUACCAAGGCGACGAUACGUAGCCGACCUGAGAGGGUGAUCGGCCACACUGGAACUGAGACACGGUCCAGACUCCUACGGGAGGCAGCAGUAGGGAAUCUUCCGCAAUGGGCGAAAGCCUGACGGAGCAACGCCGCGUGAGUGAUGAAGGGUUUCGGCUCGUAAAACUCUGUUAUUAGGGAAGAACAAAUGUGUAAGUAACUGUGCACAUCUUGACGGUACCUAAUCAGAAAGCCACGGCUAACUACGUGCCAGCAGCCGC
rnacentral:rRNA from 1 species